AUUCGAGCUUUAACAAACAUACUAAAAUAUUAAAAGUUAUGGUCUCUAAAUUUAAAGGAUUUGGCGGUAAUUUAGUCCAGUUAGAGGAACCUGUUUUAUAAACGAUACACCACGCAAAAUCUUACCUAUUUUCAGUUUGUAUACCGUCAUUAUUAGAUAACUUUUAAAAAAUAAGUUAUUAAAAUAAACAAAAUCUAAUAUAUUAGAUCAAGGUGCAGCGCAUAAAUAGGAACUUAAUGGGUUACAAUAAAUUUAAUUUAUACGAAUGUGUUCUUGAAAAAGUAUUCUGAAGGAGGAUUUAAUAGUAAAAUUAAUUUAAUAAGUUAAUUUGAUAAAGGACCUAAAUUGUGUACAUAUCGCCCGUCACUUUCAUUACUAAAUGAAAUAAGUCGUAACAU
rnacentral:rRNA from 1 species